rnacentral:rRNA from 1 species
GCCCGCUCAGAACUCAAAGGAAUUGACGGGGGCCCGCACAAGCGGUGGAGUAUGUGGUUUAAUUCGAUGCAACGCGAAGAACCUUACCUGGUCUUGACAUCCCGGAGACCCUUAGGAAACUAGGGGGUGCUUCCAUCUGGAAGAAUCUGGAGACAGGUGCUGCAUGGCUGUCGUCAGCUCGUGUCGUGAGAUGUUGGGUUAAGUCCCGCAACGAGCGCAACCCUUGCCUUUAGUUGCCAGCAGUUCGGCUGGGCACUCUAAAGGGACUGCCGGUGUUAAACCGGAGGAAGGUGGGGAUGACGUCAAGUCCUCAUGGCCUUUAUGACCAGGGCUACACACGUACUACAAUGGCCGAUACAAAGGGCAGCGACACUGCGAGGUGAAGCCAAUCCCGUAAAAUCGGUCUCAGUCCGGAUUGGAGUCUGCAACUCGACUCCAUGAAGUUGGAAUCGCUAGUAAUCGUGGAUCAGCAUGCCACGGUGAAUACGUUCCCGGGCCUU